AUUGAACGCUGGCGGCAGGCUUAACACAUGCAAGUCGAGCGAGCGGCGGACGGGUGAGUAAUGUCUGGGAAACUGCCUGAUGGAGGGGGAUAACUACUGGAAACGGUAGCUAAUACCGCAUACCAUCAGAUGUGCCCAGAUGGGAUUGGCGAGGAGGUGGGGUAAUGGCUCACCUAGGCGACGAUCCCUAGCUGGUAUGAGAGGAUUACCAGCAACACUGGAACUGAUAAACGGUCCAGAGUCCUACGGGAGGCAGCAGUGGGGAAUAUUGCACAAUGGGCGAAAGCCUGAUGCAGCCAUGCCGCGUGUGUGAAGAAGGCCUUCGGGUUGUAAAGCACUUUCAGCGAGGAGGCGUUACGCGCAGAAGAAGCACCGGCUAACUCCGUGCCAGCAGCCGCGGUAAUAC
rnacentral:rRNA from 1 species